UAGGGAAUAUUGGACAAUGGGUGCGAGCCUGAUCCAGCCAUGCCGCGUGCAGGAAGAAGGCCUUCGGGUUGUAAACCGCUUUUGUCAGGGAAGAAACGAGUUUCUCUAAUACAGAGACUUAAUGACGGUACCUGAAGAAUAAGCACCGGCUAACUACGUGCCAGCAGCCGCGGUAAUACGUAGGGUGCAAGCGUUAAUCGGAAUUACUGGGCGUAAAGCGUGCGCAGGCGGUUAUGCAAGACAGAGGUGAAAUCCCCGGGCUCAACCUGGGAACUGCAUUUGUGACUGCAUAGCUGGAGUGCGGCAGAGGGGGAUGGAAUUCCGCGUGUAGCAGUGAAAUGCGUAGAUAUGCGGAGGAACACCGAUGGCGAAGGCAAUCCCCUGGGCCUGCACUGACGCUCAUGCACGAAAGCGUGGGGAGCAAACA
rnacentral:rRNA from 1 species